AGAUUCCGCAAGUUCCAAUAACAACGAAAUUUAUUACAAAAUUUUUACGGAUCGAUGUAUCUAUAGUUUCGAACAAUAACCGCCUAGGACAAUCUAAGAAGUUAGUUAUAUAUGCUAUCGUUUUCUAACAACAAAAGUAUAUAUUUACGUGAAAUCCCUACCUCCCUUACAUAUUUUUUCUGAGUUUAAAUAUGAUUUUCGACGUAUGCGAUUAUUAUAACAUUUGAGGGGAAUUAAUUCAAAUUCUUUGGAAAAACAACUACUAAAGCAACAAAAACAAAUAACAAAUAACGUUCUGCACGUCCAGUAAUUUUAGUUUUAGACCCAUCUGCACGCUUUUGCUCUAAUCUACCCUCUUUUUCCGCUCGAUUUAUAACAUUAUAAACUAUCUGACGUAUUACCCAAAAUAUAUCAGACAAUUCCUGAACAUCCAAGUUGAAGUCCGAAUAAAUCAAACAUUUUGAACUGAAUGAUAAAACGAAAGCAUCAAAGUGAUUCGAAGAAUUCUUUAUAUUUAUAUUUCUGUACUUUAUAUUUAUCUUUAUCCUUACAUAUACAUACAUAUGUAUGUACAUAUAUGAACAGAGAAAUAGGGCACGUAUAGUGUCCUCUAUACGAAUUGUUGUUUCUUAGAAGAUUAACUGAUUAUCUGGUUGACUGAUAUUCGUACAUACAUAUUUUUGUGCCAAUGUUAUGCUGUGAAUCACUUCUCUCUAAUAUCGGACAAUAAGUCUCGUUAACUUUUUUAAUGUUUCUUUUCGCCACGAUUUACUCGAAAUUCAUUUAUUGCGUU